UUGAGUUCUUAGUUCGAAAAUGCCCUAAUACCUAAAAUUUAAACUCUCAAUUGUCUAACUUUUCAUCGUCGUCUCCUCAACAUUCAAGCUCCGUCCUAUUUCCGUGAAGUGCACUGUUGAUACCAUCGUGACUGUCGUCCACCCACGACCAAAAGCCCCAUCGUCCCACAUCAGAAACUAUCACUGUUCACCGUGAAUCGAUAUUUGUUUACUUGCCAAAACCAAACAACUGCCACCUCAGUUUUCUUCAAAUUCUCGCUGAUCCUGAGCUCCGAUGACCACAACGCCCUCAUCGCUGAGCCCUUCACUCGAUUCGACCAAAACCCGACCCUCUUGAUCCCUCACCACCAUCGUAUCCUCCGUUGCACCGUGGACUCUCCGACCGCACAUCAGCUUGACCCAGCUCACUUGAUCCGUUCGAUCGUAUGAGCUCGAGAUUACUCGUAUAAUUUUGUAAACCAUACAAAUAAUUAGAUUUAAAUAUUAUGUCAGUAGUAACUUGAAUUCGUUAUGGUUUAGGUUCGAGCGCUGAUAUAGAGAGUAGUAAGGUUGGUGCUUUGUAGACCUCCUUGGAUUGAUCCUUAUUUAGGUGUAUUCCUUGUGUGCUAUAUGAUUUCUUUAUCUGUUUUGAAAUAUGAUUUGAUAACUGAACUUAUUUAUGAAUAUUUUAUCUGAUUGA